rnacentral:tRNA from 1 species
CGCGAGAUGGCAGGGUGGUCUAUGGCGCUGGUUUUAGGCACCAGUCUCUCUUCGUGGGUUCGAAUACCACUCUCGUCA